rnacentral:misc_RNA from 1 species
GAUGAAGAACGUAGUGAAAUGCGAUAAGUAAUGUGAAUUGCAGAAUUCAGUGAAUCAUCGAAUCUUUGAACGCACCUUGCGCUCCUUGGUAUUCCGAGGAGCAUGCCUGUUUGAGUGUCAUUAAUAUAUCAACCUUCUCUUUUUUGAGUUGUUUGGAUGUGGGGGUUUGCUGGCCUCUUAAAUGAUUCAGCUCCCCUGAAAUGCAUUAGCAGAACAACCUGUUCAUUAGCGUGAUAAUUAUCUAUGCUAUUGAAUGUGAGGGCAGUUCAGCUUUCUAACCGUCCUUGGACAAUUCAUCAUUAAUGUGACCUCAAAUCAGGAAGGACUACCCGCUGAACUUAAGCAUAUCAAUAAGCGGAGGA